rnacentral:tRNA from 1 species
GGGUAUAUGGCUCAGUGGUAAAGUGUGUGUUUGGCAUGCAUGAGGUCCUAGGUUCAAUCCCCAGUACCUCCA